CAUUUGCUGCUGUAUUUGUUGUUGUGCUUGUACCAUUCUGAUUAGGGUCUGCAUUAACUGAGCCAUAUCUGAUUCUUGAUGUGCUCUCGAAGUACUCCCAUUAGGAUCUACGACUCCCUCCUCCUAAGGGGUGCCACUGAUCAGAUGGGGAGUGCUACCAUCCCAUGGUUGUGAUGUCUCUCUUGCAAUUCCUUGAGUAGUUCUUGUCAUUCUACGGGGAGGCAUGGUAACCUUGUAAUAGUAAAACCUUAUUAGAUUCAUUUAUCUAUUUGUUAGGAUGGGUUUAUUAUGAUGCUCAUACUUUAUCGUCCCAAUAUUUUUAAUGUUUACCCACCUACACUCAUACUAUGUC
rnacentral:lncRNA from 1 species